CAGCCCUAAUUUGUUGACUUUUGUGUCAAUUGUAGCAGAUAAUUCUUGAUUUUCUUUGUUUCCAGGGGUUUUUUUGCUGUGCUCUCAAAGACUAUGGCUGGCUGGCCUGCAGACUGGGAGCUGCCUCUGCAUUGUCCUCCCUGGGCAACCCUGGAUCCCUGCAGACUGCAGAGCUGCUGGAAGGCUCGAUGGGAUGGGAUGGUACUUGAAUCAUGCUGUCUCUCUUGCAGCUACAAAAUACUGUUACCACAGACUCAGAAGAGAUGCAGAGGAGAUCAGCCCAGGUCAAGAACUGAAACAUGA
rnacentral:lncRNA from 1 species